rnacentral:rRNA from 1 species
GAUGAACGCUGGCGGCGUGCCUAACACAUGCAAGUCGAACGCACGGACGACAAGCUUGGUUCGCUGAUGUGAGCGGCGCGCGGGGGUGACACAUGUGUAUAACCUCUCUUUCUUACUGGGAAAACCUUGGCAAAAGGGAGGUUAUUCCGGAUUAUAUUUUGAACCGCAUGGUUCAGAAGUGAAGGGCGUUCCUGUUGUCACUUAUCCAAGGUCCGUUGCUGCAUUAGCUAGUUGGUAAGGUCACGGCUUACCAAGGCAACGAUGCAUAGCCGACCUGAGAGGGUGAGCGGCCACACUGGAACUGAGACACGGCCCAGACUCCUACGGGAGGCAGCAGUGGGGAAUUUUCCACAAUGGGCGAAAGCCUGACGGAGCAACGCCGCGUGAGUGAAGAAGGUCUUCGGGUCGUAAAGCUCUGUUAUUUGGGAAGAAAACGUGUCCACGAAACUAUGGUGAUGGUGACGGUACCUGAUCAAGAAGCACCGGCUAACUACGUG